rnacentral:lncRNA from 1 species
AAACGUGAAACCUAUUAGAUGGAUACAUGGGUAAAGAGCUAAGUUUGCUUUGAACAUUAUAGGAUAUGUUGAAAAACUCCAAAUGCAUGACUUUGAAUUAAAAUGGCAUAUACAUAUGCAUGUUACUUAGCCGCUUAAUGUAUUUGUUUAACAUAGUAGUCUUCUCGAGGUGAGUAGGUUUAUUACACCUAACCAACAUUGGUAGAGUGAAUUACAUAUUUUAUACGAUUUUUAAAAAUUAUGUUUUAAACACUAAAAUAAGAGAAUAUGCAUAUUUUUAUAUAUAAUUUUAUUGACUUAAAUUGUAAUGUAUUGAUAUUUCAGUUUUUUAAAUCUAAUAUUAUAAAAAAUAUAAUGUAUUGCUAUCAUAAUAUGUUGUUCUAAAAAAUGAACAUGAAAAAAAGAAAUAAAGAAAAUGACAGUUUAUAUAGACAAAGGUGGGUUAAAUUUAUGAAAACAAAACGUGAAAAUAAUGUAGAACUACUUUUAUUUGAAACGUGAAACCUAUUAGAUGGAUACAUGGGUAAAGAGCUAAGUUUGCUUUGACCAUUAUAGAAUGUGUUGAAAAACUCCAAAUGCAUGACUUUGAAUUAAAAUGGCAUAUACAUAUACAUGCUACUUAGCCGCUUAAUAUAUUUGUUUAACAUAGUAGCCUUCUCAAGGUGACUAGGUUUAUUACACCAAAGCAACAUUGGUAGAGUGAAUUACUUAUUUUAUAGAAUUUUUAUAAAAAUUAUGUUUUAAACACUAAAAUACGAGAAUAUGCAUAUUUUUUAUGACUAUUUUUAUUGACUUAAAUUGUAAUAUAUUGAUAUUUCAGUUUUUUAAAUCUAUUAUUAUAAGAUAUAAUGUAUUGAUAUCAUAAUAUGUUGUUUUAAAAAAAUGAACAUGGAAAAAAGAAAUAAAG